CCAUUUUACACACGUGGUUUCACGUGGACUGCGUGGGCAAGGACUUUGGGCGUGGCUUGAUAAGAAAAUUAAUAAAGAAAACAGUGACCAGGACCAGAAAAUAAGGUUGAGUAGCUGGACUAGUCUCACCCCACCCCUUCGCUACCUGUGGAGGAAGGAAGACCGUGUCUUACAACUACUCUGUUGAAAGAGAGAGGGAGAGGUUGCUCCUGGAGUUGUUUCCUUGGCUCAAUGAUCAGUGCCAGUUUCAUCAUGUUAGUAUCAAUCUCCAGCGGCUGUGUGUCCACAGACUGAGGGUAUCCUUCAGCAACGAGGAGGGGGAGGGGUCUGGUGUCCUCUGCAGUUUCUUCACUCCAGUGUAUGAGGCCAUUAUUUCUGAAAGUCCAUUGCUGGAAUUGGAUCAUCAUUUGUCUCAUUCAGUUUGACCAAUUUCAUGUAAGAGAAG